UAAUGUAUGGGGAUCUGCCCGAUAGAGGGGGAUAACUACUGGAACCGGUGGCUAAUACCGCAUAAUGUCUACGGACCAAAGCAGGGGCUCUUCGGACCUUGCACUAUCGGAUGAACCCAUAUGGGAUUAGCUAGUAGGUGGGGUAAAGGCUCACCUAGGCGACGAUCUCUAGCUGGUCUGAGAGGAUGAUCAGCCACACUGGGACUGAGACACGGCCCAG
rnacentral:rRNA from 1 species